AAAGCCCCGAACAUUUCGCAGAAAGAUUCUGUUCGGCUCUACGUGGCUUCGUCGUCGUCGUCGGCUGUCGAUUCGGUUUGGGAUCGCCACACCAGUUUUUCCCUGGCUGUCGCCCAAAAUGGACAUAUUCUGCGGGUAAGAGCGUCGAUUUCCGGCGGUUUGUUUUGUUUCGGUUUGUUCACGUGAACCACGGAGUCGAGGGGUAGGACAGAGGAUACGAUUUUUUGCGUUGGGAUGCUGUGUCAUGAUAAUGCACGAAAAUAUCGAUUUGUCAUCCAAGAGUCCUCGACUGUGAGAGUGCUGGAACGUGUUGAUGACGCGACAGUCGGUGAGAAAUAAAAGUGAUGAGUUCUCACGAAAUGAGUGCCAAAAGAGAAUAAGUGAUUGAUAAGUGUCAGUGAAGAUUCUGGAAGAAAGGAAGCAUCAAAAGGGCAGACAUGGCAAAUCAACGUUACCUAUCCACUGAGCGAGGACCGAUGGAAAAUUGUCACUCACGAACAAAACACAAUUAUCGGCGAUUCCGCAUCACAAUCAAACGAGUGCGAAAGAAAUCUGACGCUGAAGGGGACUGAACUACGCAGAAAUCGAUGAAACUGGAAUAAAAACUGAAUAAUGUUACGAUUAUGGCAGACUGGUCAAGGAAUACCCUGUCUGCCAUCAGCUGACAGCAUGUCAGGUGAAGAACUGAGUGCGCAUGCUUCAGAAAUCCGGUUCGCACUGUUUGACAGCUGAACGGAUUCCACCUCUGCAAGCUCCAACUGGAAACAAAAUAUGAUGAAUGCUUGAAAAAAGACAUUCGACGAAUAAUUAUUCCUUCUGGAAAGAGAACGAGUGUCGGUUCCAAAAUCAUAAAACAAAUCGUAAAUUAAAUAAAUAAUAAUCAAUUAUAAACAAAAAA